rnacentral:rRNA from 1 species
UACAGAGGGGGCAAGCGUUGUUCGGAAUUACUGGGCGUAAAGGGCGCGUAGGCGGCCUGCUAAGUCGAACGUGAAAUCCCCGGGCUCAACCCGGGAACUGCGUCCGAUACUGGCAGGCUUGAAUCCGGGAGAGGGAUGCGGAAUUCCAGGUGUAGCGGUGAAAUGCGUAGAGAUGUGGAGGAACACCAGUGGCGAAGGCGACUCUUUGGCCUGUAACUGACACUGAGGCGCGAAAGCGUGGGGAGCAAACAGG